GCUCCCGUAGUUCUAAUGGUAAAACUGCGGCCUUGUAAUCCGCUGUUGUCUGUUCGAUUCAGACCGGGAGCUCCA
rnacentral:tRNA from 1 species